CCUGUACUUCCUUCCUGGAGCUGUGGAGAGGAUUCAGUGUGUUACAAACAGUCUGGGACACACCCAGUGAGCUCAGCGGCUGUCAGCGUAACCCAGCGCACGAGGGCAGAGGGCCCUUUGGGCUGCGCUGUGGGGAAAGCGUGGAGUCCAGAAGGCAGACACCCUCCUUGAGUGUUUCGAGGGGUCUAGAGCUGGAGUUCUGGAGGCCUCUAUUGAAACUCAUGUUAAGGAGGGGGAGCAUCCCAAACACGCUGCUCUCGGCUCACCGUCUGCAGUACCUUCCGUUGGGAGGUCACUCCUUCUCCACGUCCUGAGCUGCCUCGUUCUUUUGCUGGUGGACAAUGGUUCACCGUGGGGCCAUAUCGGGUGCAUGGGACCGUUCUUACUGAUGGAGACGCCACGCGGAGCACAGCCUAGACGAGCUGGAAGACUUUGCAUGACCUGGGCCUCAGCAUGUGCUUCCGGGGACAUCAAAGAAGGCUUCUCGGAGGAGGGGCACCAGAGCGGGGCCUUGAAAGUAGGGUCUGGGCUGCCAGGGAGGGGCAGCAAGGACCCCGGCUUUAUGAGCCACCUCUUGAAACCCACCCUCCUUCCUCAGAUGAGAGUGUCGAAAAGGCCAGCUCAGCAGACCAGGGGUCCACACGCCCCUCUGCACAGAUGGUCCCCAGCCUGGGCUCCAUCUCUCUCACCCUGGCAGCUGGUGGGCAGUGGCGGCAGGAAUAUUGCCACACACGCUGUGAGAGAAAGUAAAGAAGGACAUUUUCAGUUCAGAGCUCAGAUCCCCGGAUCGUGUUCUCUCUUCCCAUUCUGCCUGGCCGGCGCGGAGCUGGCGUGAAUUCAUCCCAAUAUUUAUUGGAUGUUGGCCGUGACCCUGGAGCGGGUCCUCAAGACCCUGCAGCCUGCUUCCCGCAUGAACCCCUCACUUGCUGGAGCGUGGAGAGGCCCAGGGGCCGGGGGGCCAGGAGCGGCCAGGGAGCUGGGGGGUCACCCUGGGGCGUAAGAGCCCGGGGGCCCUGGUUGUGGGCAGAAGUUCAAGCCAAAGUCCUAGCAUUGCCGUGGACCCUGCAGAUCACCUAGUGGGGAGAAGAGGUCCCCAUGCUCUCCCAGGGAAGACAUUGGCCUAAGCUGGAUUUCAGGGACUCAGGCUGAUGGCAAUGAAGCUAAACUCAGUCAGUGGGGUGAAACUGGCAGCAUGAAAAAUUUAAAUAAAAAUCUGAUUUUUAAUA
rnacentral:lncRNA from 1 species